UUAAUUCUAGUUGAGGAUUGGUUGAAACUAAGGUUGUUUAAUGGGUUGUGAGAUCUGAACAUAAAUUAUUGUCUUUGGUUUUGUUCAAUAUUUAUGCAAUUGAUGCUUUAAUUAUAUGAUUACUUUGUUGUUUUGAUCAAAUUGGCCACUUGAUUUUAAUUGCAAAGUUAAUUGAUUGUUAGUUGGGAUUAUUUUUAGUCCGUAAUUGCUGGAAAUAUUCUGACCUUAGAACACUUGGCGUAAAAACCAAGGAAUUGCAUGAUCUAGCGUUAUCUCCAUACGUUUGGGUAGCUAGGAUUGGAUCUCUCUAUUUCUUUAUGCAAUUGACAAUUGUUUUGAUGCCUAUGGCCCAAGGACGUUCCUUGGCAAUUUGUUAAUUAGUAAUUAAUUAGAGGACGUUCCCUAAUUAAUUUAAUCAUAAGGAGAGACAUGGUGGUGAGAAGCGUCUUCCACCCCCAUAACUAAUCUAUUGAACUAAUCGAGAUAAUUUAAGUUUCAAUGAUCAACCCAAACAACCAAAGUGGAUCCAUAUCUUCAACUAGGCUUUUCUCAUAUUGAUUUCCUCUUUUAUUUUAAUUAUUUGCUUUCUAUUAUUACUCUCAUUAUUAGUUACUACAAUCAAUCUCAAACCCCCCAUUUUACUUUUAUUGCAAUUUAUUUUUAUUCUGCUUCCAGUUUAUCUCAUUUGAUCCCACUUUCAGUCUUUUAUCUCAUCUUUAAUUUAUUAUUGUUUCAGUUCAUUUUAUUGGUCUUGUUGAGAAAAAUAAAUAGGUAAUCAAUUCUCUGUGGAUUCGAUCCUUUCACCACUAUCUGCAGUUGUAAAAUUAUUGAUAACCAGGAAGGUUAUUUUUGACCGGCUUCGACAACCGCGAGUCAAGUACCAAAUAAGGAGACAGUUUGAGUAGGCCCCCAAACAUCAGAAUGAAUAGUCACAAAAGGAAUUUAACUUUUAUUAUGACUCAAAGGAUAGGAGGUUCUAGUGUGCUUAGCAAGCUCACAAGUAUCACAAAAUAAAGAACCAAACUGAGUUCUAACAAACAAAUUAGGAUAAAAUUUUUCUAAGGCAAAAUGAUGGAUGUCCUAACCGCCUGUGCCACUGUAGUAUUUCCUAAUUGACAUCCUUAUUUUCUCAAAAACAAGCUUGAGAUAUCGGAGAACCUGGAUCACCUUUCAAUAUGUAUAAGCCAUCAUGCAGUUUACCAUUGCUAAUCCUCUUCCGUGUCAGAAGAUCCUAAAUAAUGAUCAGGAAAGAAUUCAAUUUUAUGAUUAAGAGUAUUAAUGAUAGCACUGACAGAUAAAAGGUUGACAGAAAAACAAGAAACAUGAAAGACAAAUGAUAAUUUAAUAUUGCGUGCACAAAUAACAAAACCUGUUCCGGGUUAUAGGAGUAAAAGAGCCAUCAAUAAUUCUGACACUCUCUUUGGUUAGAGAAGAAAAAUAAUUGAGAAAGCCUUUAGAAGAGCCUGUCAUGUGUCCAUUCGCACUAGAAUCAAUAAUCUAUGGAACAGUAUCAAGAGAGAAAGCAUUAGCUAACUUUACAAAGUUAAAUGUGGCACCAAAAGAGGAAGAGAUGUCAAUAUGAGACAGACGGCGCUUGAGACUCUGAAUUUCACUACGAGAAAGGAACUCAACAGCUAUUGUCUCUUUAAAGGGCUCCUCCACAGUUUCUGCUAAAUUAGCUUGAGUUCUAGAGGUACCUCAUUUUCCUCCACAGCCUCUAGUAGAACGACCAUGUAACUUUCAGCAGAUCUCUUUGGUAUGUCUCGAUUUCCCACAAUAGUCAAAUGUAGGUGAUCUUUCUCAGAAUUAGGAGGCUGCGAUGUGCUCAAACUAGUAGCCAACCUAACCUUUUCAACUGGUGCAGUAUAGAGUAUAGCAUGUCAACGACUUUUCUCUUGUUGAACAUAGGCGUGGAUCUCUCCUAGAGAAAGAAAAUGGUUUUUCUCUAACAAUUGGACCCGAAUUGGAUCAUAUUUGUUAUUCAACCUUACAAGAAAAUCAUAGACCCGCUCCUUUCCAAUCAUUUUCUGAAAUUUGACUGUCUCUAGUACAUUCUACCAUAAGCCAUAUAACUCAGAAUAAAAUUGGGAGAUAGUCAUUUCUUCUUCCUUAGCAACAUGAAUCUUAUUUUGAAUACCAUAAAAUUUGGCAUCAUUCUCAAUCUUGAAAUAAGUUAAGGACAAAACCUUUCGUAUCUUUGCAAUAGUAUCAAUUAACAAAUAGGACUUAGAGAUAUGAGGUUGCAUAGAGUUAAAUAAUCAUAUCAUAACAAGAUCAAUUAUCCAAGUCCUAUUGAGGAAAAUCUGGAUCACUCUCAUCCGAUUGCUUCUUAUUACCAGUGAUAUAGCCCUACAAUCCUUUAGCCUUGAUAAACAACAAACAAAACUUUGACCAAACAAGAUAAUUAGUUUCAUCAAGUUUUACAGGACGAAUUUGCAAGAAAGGAUUAUCAGGGUUAGGAAUCAAGACUUUUUUACCUUCUGCCAUGGUAAAAACAAAUGAACCGUGAAAGAAUAGGAGGUACCUAAGGUUAUACACACAAGAGAGCCCAACCAAAUCACUAAAAGACUAGGUAGCGACACGGGAUGGCCAAAAAAUGGGUCGGAAACGGCGCCGGAGUGGACGAAGCGACAAAGCAGCGUCGGACAAAUCUCACGCACAAAGAAGGAAGGGCGAGUGAGCUUUACGCACGUGACUUUUCGGCAUCAAAGCUAGGCGAUCUGGCCGGCAACGAUCUAGCGGUCCUCCUGGUGGCGGCGAUGAGAUGUGAAAAGGUCUCUAGGUAGGAUAAUAUCAAAAAAGUAGAUCUAGGGUUUUAGAAAUCCUAAAGAGGAAAAAUUGAAUUUAAACCCUAAAAUCAGAAAAAAGCUCUAAUACCAUGAAGAAUUUUAGAGUAUUUUUAUAUUUCACUCUUGAUUUUUACAAGUGGUUUAGAUGAUUAUUUAUAUACAAAGAAUUAUAACUAAACAGAAAAUAAAUAAUCAAAGAAUAAUUACAGAGACAAUUAAAGACCCUAAUUUAUGCCUAGAAUCCAUAAUCAAAUCAAAUCAAAUCAAAUCAAAUCAUAUCAAAUAAAUCAACAUGAAAGCUUGAGAAACCAAAUGUCUAGUUUAAAGACAAUCCACAAGGUUGACACACAUGAUAAUAUCCGAGUCAUCAUUUGAGAUCAUAACAGCUGAAUGAAUGAGCAUAUAGAAAAACGUUUAAACAGAAAGCCAUAAAAAGUUAACGCAAUAAAUCAACCAUGGAUGCUUUUUCAUUCAGUUAAUUGGGUUUAGCUUUCUUUGAACUUUUCAUCCAUAACUUUUCCCUCUGAAAAGAUUAUUUAUUCCAUUUCUACAUUGGUAAAAGUACAGAUAAGCAAUAAAAACAAAGAAGAUAGAUAACUAUCCAUAAAAUGUUUGAUUAAUAUCAGUGGGCUAGCCUACAAAAAAUCCACCAGUUCAACAGUGUUUAAGAGUGACAAACUUAAAGAAGAAUUUUACUAAAAUUAAAUUACUACCUGCACCAUUUGGCAGAUACUCAACCACUUGGCUAAAUUAGCUUUAAUAUUUAUUGUUUCCAAAAACUAUCCAGCACUCUUUAUAUGAAACAGACUUCAAUAUGUGAAUGUAGAUAAUACGUUAGAACUUAUACGGACCUCCCCUGUGAAAAAUACUGGCCGACCUUCUUUUGCAGCCCUGAUUGCAUCAAAUUUACCAUUGUCUUCGGCCAAAAUUCUGUAAGCAGACCAGCUUGAUGAAGCAUCCUUGAAAAUCAAAAGAAAACAAAUAAAGUAAAGAAGAUUAGGAAGUUGAAAAAAAUUCUAGAUGAUCAAACUAGUUAUGAGUGCAUCAGGUGCUUGUAACAAUGAAAUUCCCCCAGCAGCAGCAUUUGAAUUGCUUGGACUUGACUAUACAAGCCUUGUUUCAUCAUUUAAUGGUGAUAAAAAUUCUUUGCACUAUAUACAAACAUAUAGCAAGCCCACCAAUCAGACAGAGAGUUCUACAAGUGAUUAAGGAAUCUACCUGGCAGUAUAUGGACUCAUGCAGGAGAGCGUAGAGUGGGUUUGAAUCAAAAUCCAACCAAUUUUCGAACUGCAAAUGUGAAAUGGCUUAGGCUGAUUCCACAAGGGACUUACAUCAAUGAUUGGCAAAAGGAACAAUCAUAUUCUCACAGCUUUUAAGAAGUAGUGGCUAAUUUGCUUUCUUGAUCCUGGAACUAGAACGGGAUCCCACACCCUCUCAAACCUGAAGGUCAGAAGAAGAAGAAGAAGAGUUGAUAAACAAAAAAAAAGUACAGAGAUGGGUUGAAAAGUAAGUGCUGAUGCCUUACAUAUAGUGAAGACGUUCAAAACCUGCACUGGAUCCUAAACCAGAGAGACCUAGAGUUUGCAGUCCUCUUGGAGUUAAGAUUCCCCCUGAUGGAAGAAGCACCUAUAUGGAAAGAAGCGGUGGGAUGGGUGUGUGUGUCUGUAUAUUUAUAUAUAUAGUCUGAAAAAGAAAAGUUUCAAAAUUGUGUGUGCAAGAUCCUCACCCCGCCUCCUUCAGAUUCUGCCAAAUGGAUCACAACUUCACGAACAAUUUCAGCAUCUUGAGGAAACCUCUCAUAGUACUUUUCAUUCUGGCGAAUAACCUGCUCAUAGCAUGCACUAUAGACAAUAUCAGCAGUGCAUCCACUCCUUAUUGGAGGGAUUCCUCCAGUUAUCAGGACUUGUUUCAGUCCUUGUGGUGCAAAACUCAAAUAUGUUACAGCACAAAAGCCACCAUAACUCUGAAAAAACCAAGAGAUAAAGUACAAAACAAGCCAAAGCUGUUAGUUGAGGAUUAAAUUGGAAAAUGACUGAAACAAAGAAGAGCAGCAGGAACAAGUGAGAUCAAAACAAUUAGAUCUUAAGUAUAACAUCAUUAUUGUAGCACACACAAAGGAAAUCAAAACCAUGACAAAUCAGUAGUCUUCAUACCUGUCCCAAAAUUGUCCAUGGUCCAGAAUCAGGAACUAGACGAACUCGGAUAAAUUCAGCAUCAUUCACUAUAUUGUCAGCUCGAAAAUGUUUCAAGUAAUCAACCAGCUUCUCUGCAGAAUCCAGUUGCAACAUAGAUGAUGAUGUCAAAGGAGUUGAUAAGCCUGUUCCUCGCUGUACGAAAAUACUUUAUCAAGAGCAAAAAUAUUAUGAACAUAGGAAGUGCCUGGCAGUAAAAAUUUAUAUGAGAGGAGUGUUGAAAAUUCAUGCCUGAUCCAUCAAAACAACACGGAAUCCUUCACAUGCUUUAUGUACCCAUCCGCUAGCCUCAGUUGGCCGCGGACACUCAAAGCCAGGUCCUCCUUGUAAAUAUAAUAGGUAAGGCAGUUGUUGUUCUUCUUUCCCAACUGCAACACACAUUUUGAAUCAACCAGGGAUUGCUAAAGAAUGUAAUAUAAUAUGGUGGGGCAAAAUGAGGAGAGGGAGAAAAAAAAUCUAAAAACGCAUUAAAUACUUCAAAAUGACACUUCUGCUAGGUUUUUCUACAACUAGAGAGCACACUAAGUUCAAGCAAUGUUGCUUGAGCAGUAAAUUUGCAGUACAAAUAUCAGACAAAAGCAUACAUCCAUAGCCUUAGGGUGACAUAAAUAGAUUACUGAUCCAGCAUAAAGGUCUGAUCCUUAAAAUGGAUUCUAGGAACCACGUUGAGUUUGUAAUCCAAAUUUGACAAAAGUUCAUUCAAAUUUGCACCACAUAAUGCAAGUAGAUUGAAAUUAAGCGUUGAGAUAUCUUAUCCGUCUAAAGACAAUAGUGUCAACCAUCUUCCAGAGAAAUGCAAGCAAUCCUCUUAAAUUGUUUCGCGGUUGUCGUACAUCAUGUCUAAUACAAGUAUAUGGUUUAGUUCACUUUAGUACUGCAUUUCUUGGAAACCCAAAAGGCUAGAAGUGAUUCCAAACUAAAACAAGAUCAAACAAGUCAACAAUCCGGCUAAUAAAUCCUGUAAUUGAAUUGAGGAGGUAGUUGUAUUAGUUGUCUUAGUACCAGCCACGACUUCUCGAACAAAAAUGGAGAUCUUGGGAGAAGCACUACGAUCAAUGGAGUAAUCGAGGGGAACAAUGAAGCGAUGGUCGCGAAGCCGAAGGUCCGGCACGGAGUACCAAGUUCCGGCGUGGUGCUCUGGCGGAGAAUAGGAGGCAGCGUGUUUUGCUUCAGCCAUGGUAGCGAAUGUGUUCAAUGAACUCCGGCGACAGUGGAAGUGGAGAAGAUUGGGUAAUGAAUGGGGCGGAUGCCGAGAAGUCGAGCGAGGAUAUAACAGCAAGGAUGAGGCCAAAAGGAUUGGCUUUAUCAAGGAAGGUUGUGCGUAAUUUACAAGCAUUUUGGGAGCUGAGGGAGCAGUGCUAGAAGAGAUGGAGUUAGUAACACGUGUGGCUUUCCUCUAAACUUCAUUUUUCCUCUGAAAGUAGUCCCUUAUUUUACAUUCUGCCCCCGUUUGGAAAUGUGAAAAAUAAGGGGCAAAGUUUUGCUAUGGUAGUUAUUUUCUUUUUGGCUUUUGUGCUUGUUAAAAUGUUAGGUUUUUUUCUAGUUGUGGUUAUCUGUGUUUCCAUCUGGAGCUUUCUCUCUUUUCACCCGCAACCUUCCUACCUUUUAUGCCAGUGGUUUGGCAUUGCAGUUGUAAUACUGGAAAUCUGCUUACUUUAUUAAUAAACAAGGUCUUAUUGGAUUGCUUGUUCAUGUGGGCCUUCAUCAGAAUCCGUUGGGCUUUUGACUAUAGCUUGUUUUGUUUCUUUGGGCCAGGAGCUGAAUACUUUGGGCAUUUAGACUUGGAUGGUGAAUUGUUGGAUCUAGUGCCUUUUUUCUAAUAUAAUUCUAUAUUUUCAAAUUUAUUUUGAAAAAAUAUAGACAUAAAAUGGUAAUUUUACUAUUUAUAAAAUGACUUUCUAUCUGUAUUUUCCAUCUAAUAUCCAAAAAUGAGAUUUUUUUUUCCUACUAUCUUUAAUUUAUACUUUAUUUUGCUCUUAUAUUUUUUUUCCUUAAAAACUAUUUUUAUUUAAGUAAAAAUAAAUAAUAAGAAAGAGCACAAACUUUAUUUUUCUUAAAUAAUAAGAAAGGGCACAAACUUUAUUUAUCUUUCUUUAUUUUCUCUUUGUCUCCUUUAAUUUUUUUAGAAAGGAUUGAGAAUAAAGGGAGAAAGGAAAAAAAAUAAAAGAAAAAUAACGCUUAUUUUCUCUAUUUUUUUUCAAUCUUUUCUAAUUAAGAGAAAGUGAUAAUAACCCUUAUUUUGGUUUCCAACUGCUUUUUUUCUCUUGAUUGAAAAUAGAUUGUUUUCUAAUGAGUUAAUAUAAGCAUAAAAGAAUCAUCCAAUUCAAGAAAAGUCAAAUUGAGAGAGUUAAUAUUUUUUCAAUUUGAGUUCCAAAGUAAUAUUUAUAAUUUUUAAAUAUAAGUAUUAUUAAAAUUUUGAGUUCCAGCUUAUAAAAAAGAAAUUUUUGAGUUCCAAUAAACCAUAGUUUACCACUUACUACCAGGGACCAAAAGGCAUAAAUUCUCAAAGUUAAGGGAUUCAGAAGUGGAUUUAACCUUUAAUUUUGGAGAAUUGCGGGUGACACGAGGCGAAAGGGGCACGUAGAUAGCAUUCUUCAGGCGGUGAAUAGAAUACGCGCAGUUGUAAACAAACUUGUUUUUCAUAUUGGUGCAGGUGGCGCAGCCAAAGCUCGCAGCCUUCCUCAAAAAUAAAUUUAAUUACUUCCUCCAAUUUGUCGUUCUCUCUCCGAAAUGACGAUCUUCACCAAACUCUACAGGCCCUCGUCCAUUGUCAGAUCGCAACAUCUCCUCCAGCACCUCCGCUGUAUGAGCAAUGUCCCGGAAAACACCGUCUACGGCGGUCCAAAGCCGCAGAACCCUAACCAGAGAGUCACUCUAACCCAUUUGAAGCAAAAGCACAAGAAAGGCGAGCCUAUAACUGUUGUAACAGCGUACGACUAUCCCUCUGCGGUUCACCUCGAUACAGCCGGCAUCGAUAUUUGUUUAGUCGGUGAUUCGGCCGCCAUGGUUGUUCACGGUUACGACACCACUCUCCCCAUCUCCCUUGAGGAGAUGCUUGUCCAUUGCCGAGCUGUUGCUCGCGGCGCCAAGAGGCCACUUCUCGUUGGUGACUUGCCUUUUGGCACCUACGAGUCGAGCACCCGGCAGGUACCAAUAUAAAUUAUGCAACUUAAAGUUUUUACAUUUAUAAUAUUUUUGUUGAGCAAGGUGGGAAUUCUUGAAUUAUUUGGUGGGCGAAAGGGUUUGUGUGAUGUUUUGUAUUUAUGUGUGGAAUGGAUGGUGAUGUUGCAGUUUGGAUUAUGAGCAGGCAGUUGAUACGGCGGUUCGGAUUUUGAAGGAGGGAGGAAUGGACGCCAUUAAGUUGGAAGGAGGUUCGCCCUCGAGAAUUUCUGCUGCCAAAGCUAUAGUUGAGGCAGGAAUUGCAGUUAUGGGCCAUGUAGGACUCACUCCUCAGGCCAUUAGUGUUCUUGGGGGAUUCAGGCCUCAAGGGAGGAAUGUUUCCAGUGCUAUCAGGGUCUUCUUCUUCUUCUUUUUUGCCUUGUUUAUUUUGUUAUCUUUGUGAGUUUAUGUAUUGAAUUGUCUUUCUUUGUGCAGGUUGUGGAGACUGCAAUGGCGUUGCAGGAAGCAGGGUGUUUCUCUGUGGUUUUGGAAUGCGUACCUGCACCUGUAGCUGCUGCAGCAACAUCUGCUCUUCAAAUUCCCACCAUUGGCAUUGGAGCAGGGCCUUUCUGCAGUGGGCAGGUUUUAGAUACUCUCACUCUCUCUCUAUUUCAGUGGAGUUGUUUGGUCAUCUAAUUUCUUUGUCAAUGAGAUGGCAGGAUUAGAAUCAUAUAAAACUUUAGGUAUGUUCUGAGAUCUGCUCUUUUUUGGAUGUGAUACUGAAAGAUUUUGAUUAUAUCUAUCCAUUGCCCAUAUAACUGCGUGUCUGAAUAGCCCUUUAUUUGGAUCAAGAAUUUUGUAGGAAUUUAAUUCAAUUCAAUUGAUUUUUUUUAAAAUUAAUACUCAUGCUUAAAAAUAAAAAUAAAAAAAUCAAAUUUUUUACUUAAUUUUUUUAGAAGAAGUAGAAAUCAUGCAUGAUUCCAUAAGAAUUUAUUUGACUUGAUUUUUUCAACCAGAGCCUAAAUGAUGUUAAAUCAAGGGUUCAGUUUAACUGGGGAGUAUGGCAGCUAGCUAUCCCACUAAAAGAUAAAAGCUUGGCUUUUGUAGCAACUUUUUCUUUCUUUCUUUCUUUCUUUUUGUUGAAUUUUUGGAAAUUCAAUUGAAUUUUUUUUUCCAUCACCUUUUUGUGAUUGACAACUUUUGACAAGAACUUCUAGAAAUUGCUGGACCCGGGCUCCAGGAUUCAUUUAGCUUUUUCUAUGUGGAGGCCUCAUUUCCUUGUAAUUUUCUGAUGUUCACUUUUAUCAUGGACACAAUUUUUCCUCAUAGUGACAAUUAAAUAUGUCUCCAGACCAUAUGUUAUUACAGUCCACGGCAACUCAUGAUGUAAUGACGGAUGUCUGAUAGUCUUUGGCAUUUCUUUUAUUCUUUUGUGUCAUACAAGAGAACUAUCUGGCUUAUUGUUAUGUUAUGGGUACUUAGUGUUGGUGUACUCAUGUUCUACUUUAUGGUUCACUCUUUAUACUCUUUUUAUGAAUGAAUUAUUAUUCUCUUAAAAGGUAAAUCUGAACUCCUUAGAUUUUACAACUUCUGUUUUUCAAAAUAUAAAAUCCACUGGCAAUCCAGCUUUAGUGUGAGUUUCUAAUUUAUUUGCAACAUGUGUUAUGGUAUUGUUCUUUAUGAGGUGGGGCUGUUGCACAUGCUAACCAUUCUCAUCAUGUCCUUUUUUUCCUUUCCAACCAUUGUUACUGAUUAUUACUUUAUGCUGAUAAUUGUAGGCAAAGUGGAUUUGUUUGUCUCUUUCAAAUUUUAAAGUUUUAUAUCUGUAAAAAUACUGAUUUUUACAAUUUCAAAGAUAGGAGUGCAUUUCUGACAAAGCUAAAUGCAGGGAUCAUAGAGUAUGUUUAGUUUCUCUUGAUCAUGAAGCUUGCUGAGUUAUUUCAGCCUGUAUGGUCACGUUGACUUCGGAAGGUUCAUUUUAUAAUUUUGUAUGUUAUUGCCCGUGCAGGUGUUAGUUUACCAUGACCUACUGGGGAUGAUGCAACAUCCACAUCAUGCCAAGGUUAAUCCCGCAGUCACUUCCUGGUUUUGUUGAUUCUUUCAAACCUCUGCAAUUUUCGCUAAGAGGAAUUGUUUUACCUCGUAUAGGUUACUCCAAAAUUCUGUAAGCAGUAUGCAUGUGUGGGGGAUGUCGUGAACAAAGCUCUACUUGAAUACAAGGAAGAUGUAACAAAUGGUUCAUUCCCAGGUCCUGCCUAUAGUCCAUAUAAAAUCAGUGCAGCAGAUGUAAAUGGUUUCUUGAAUGAACUACAAAAGCUAGGCUUGGACAGGGCAGCAUCAUCAGCAGCUGCGGCAGCUGAGCAGCUCAAAGCAACUGAAUCCGAGUCCAAAUGAAUGAAUAUGGGUCAAUCAAGCAAAUCCGCCUUUACUCAGCGCCAGGAAGAACAGCCUAAUAUUUCUACAAUACAUUUACAAAUAUUCGGCUAGAAAUAAUGUUAGUGCGAAAUUUUUAAAAAACUCACUCUCGUUUUUCCCCCUCAUGUAUGAAAGCUGAGUUGCGUCGAGUCGGGUCGUUAAGUUAUACUUGCUACUUGCCUCUAAAUUUGUAAUCGAGCCUAUUAGAAAGCAAAUGUCAAAUUUUAACAAAGAAUCUUGCUCGCUUUAGCUAUGAGAAUGCGAUUUGACAUCUCUGGCUCUUCUUUUCCAUUUAUUUGGAGCUUGAAGUACAAAUUUUAUGUAGAGAACCUGUCGGCAGGAUUGUCAAGUAAUCAGAGAUGUUUAUUAUGGCCUCCAAUGGCAAGACCAGCCAUUUUUAGACUUCAAUCUUCAAGCCCAACCCAGGUCCCUGCGGGCAUAUAAUUAGCGCCUUUUCCCCUUCGGGAUGUACAAAGUAGAAAGGAGCUUGAAACCGAUGCAGAAGCAGAAAACCUCCCACGACAUUAUCGCCGUCGUAAAAGUUCUAAUUUUUUAAAUAAUAUGAGCAUAACCCUCUUAGCAUCAAAGCAUUCAAAUUUCAUCCGGGUCGUCGAAUCAUGCACUAUCAGAUUCUCUUUCCUUCUCCGUCAUCUUUCCACCGAGCCCGCCAUCCCACCACCACCACGACAAAACGACGACUCAAACGUAGAGCAAGUCCUGCAACUCCUCCAAAUCCCUGACCAUGAAUGGAACACGACCCAACUCAAUCACCUCCUCUUCUCCAAUCCCGCUCCUUCUCCUUGCCUUCUCUUCCAGAUCGCCCGCCGGUUGCCGUCCUCCUCCCAAGCCCUCAAAUUCCUUAAAUAUCUCCAAUACAAUUCCCCACUGCCAGAUACCCAGUUUCUCUCAUCUACAUUACAGACCGUCUUCGAGCUCGCUAGCCGUGAACCUGGUUCCCGGACGAAUUUAUAUGAGCUUUAUAAGGCUUCUAAAGAAUGGAAUAUUCCACUUACCAUCAAUUCCGCCACACUUCUAAUUAGAUGCUUUGGGAGAAAUGGGUUAGUAGAGGAGUUCUCCAUUUUGUUCGAUGAACUUGAGCAUUCUCUUAAGAACACGCAGGUACGCAAUGCUGUCAUACGUUUGCUCCUGAGAGCUGGGCUCGUCGACAAAGCGUUUAAGGUGCUUGAUGAAAUGCUUCGACCAGAAUUUGAUUAUCAUCCGGAUAAUGUUACUGGUCAUAUUAUUUUCUCUUGGUUGAUGAAGAGAGAACGUUUAGGGAGGACUGAUACCCGAGAGGAGAUUGUUGAACUGGUGUUGAAAUUUGGUAAAUUUGGUGUUUUUCCUAAUUCAAUUUGGAUAACUCAGAUGGUUACUGUGCUGUGUAGUAAUGGAAAGACAAUUAAAGCUUAUGAUCUUUUGCUUGAAUUAAUGACUUUGGGAGCUGCUCUGAAGGUGGCUCCUUUCAAUGCAUUAUUGACAGGGUUGGGAAGGGAUAAGGACUUUAACAGAAUGAAUGAAGUUAUGGUAAAGAUGAAGGAAAUGGAUAUUGAGCCAGAUGUUAUCACCUUUGGGAUUAUUAUUAAUCACCUGUGCAAGUUUAGGAAAAUUGAUGAGGCGCUGGAGGUGUUCCAAAGGAUGAAUAAGGGUCAAGAGGUUGGUGGAGUUUCAGUUGAACCAGAUGUUGUCAUUUUUAACACAUUGAUUGAUGGCCUUUGUAAAGUUGGGAGGCAAGAAGAAGGUCUGGGUUUCCUGGAAAGGUUUAAAACGCAAAAGGAAUGGUCUCCUAAUACUGUUACCUACAAUUGUUUGAUUCACGGUUUCUGUAAAGCUGGUGAGAUAGAGAGGGGCCUGCAGUUGUUUGAUGAAAUGAACAAAGAGGGGAUCGUACCAAAUGUGAUUACCAUUAAUACUUUGGUUGAUGGUAUGUGUAGAAAUGGAAGAACAGCUAGUGCAGUUCAGUUUUUGGACGAGAUGCAAAGGAAAGGUUUAAAAGGAAAUGCUUUUGCUUAUGCAUCCCUAAUCAAUGCCUUUUAUCAUGUGAACAAUAUCAGGAAAGCAAUGGAAAUUUUUUAUCAAAUGUUGAGAGAGGGAUUCUCUCCGGAUGCAAUAGUUUACUAUAAAUUGAUCUCUGGCUUGAGCCAAGCUAGAAGGAUGGAUGACGCCACUUCUCUUUUGUCAAAGUUGAAAGAGUCUGGGUUUCAUCCAGACGUUUCGUGCUACAAUGAUUUGAUUACUGGUUUUUGCAACAAGAACAGGACGGAUAAAGUUAAAGAGAUGCUCAGUGAUAUGGAGAAAGCUGGAAUAAAUCCUGAUAGCAUCACAUACAAUACUUUGAUUUCUUAUUGCUGCAAAAUUGGAGAUCUGGAAGUUGCUCAGAAAAUCAUGAAAAAGAUGAUCAAGGCCGGUCUUUCACCUACAGUUGCCACAUAUGGAGCUCUAGUACGUGCAUAUUGCUUAGACGGCAAAGUUGAUGAAGCAAUGAAGAUUUUCAGAGACAUGGACGCAGCUUCGAAGGUCACAUCCAAUGCUGUGAUGUACGACAUCCUGAUAGAAUCCUUGUGCAACAAUAAUGAUGUAGAACUUGCUCUUCCUUUGAUGGACGAUAUGAAAGCUAAGGGAGUGAAACCAAAUACAGCAACAUAUAAUGCCAUAUUCAAAGGUCUACGGGAGAAGAAAUGGCUGAAGCCAGCUAUUGAAUUAAUGGAUACAAUGAUAGAGCAGGCUUGUAAUCCCGAUUACGUCACCCUGGAGAUACUGAGAGAAUGGCUCUCUGCUGUUGGUGAAACAGAGAAAUUAAAAAACUUUGUUCAAAGAUACGAGGCUUCAGCUUCUGCCACAUAAAAUGGCUUUGGCAAGGGCACAAGUGAUUGUUUGGAACACAAAUGUACUGCCCUGAUAAUUUGGUUUCUUUCAGGAAAGACCAGACACUAAAGUUUCUUAUUCAUAUAGCUUCCUGUUCAGAUUUGCUAUGGUGGUUUUGUGCUUCAAUCCAUUCUUGCUCUCAGAACUCCUAAGAUUUAACUAAAUACAGUUACCACCAAUGGAUAAAUUUGAGAGGCAAUCAUAGAGAGUCAGAUUUGAUAAUAUCAAACGUUGUCUCCCCUUGCACCAACUAUUCAUCCAACCAUGCAAGUAAAUAAAUAAACAAAUAAAACCACUCAUCUUAACCUCUCAUGUUACAAAACAGUUAAUCUUAAUGAAGGUUAACCAAUCAUUGCAAUUAAUCGACAAUUAUGCAUUAAUCAAGAGCCAACCAGAAGGUGCAAUCAGCAAGGUAAUUUUAAUAAUCACUGCAGGUUAAGAAAUGGAAUUUCUUUUUACUAUAUUACACUCACUGGCACAGGUAAAAAGCAACGGUGCCCUGAAAGAUUCUACUCCAUAAAUCAUACAAGUGUAUACAUGAAAGCAAAUGCAAACAUUAAUCAGUAUAAAAAGGUAUUAUCCAUGUCAGCAAGAGUUCUCUCCGGCAGUUUCAGAUACCGCCUGCGGCUGUAGCAGCAUUUUUUGCUAGCCAGGGCAGGCCUAAAUUCAGUGGAAAGUGACCAGAGAACCGGUCUCUGGUGACCGGAUCGUCCAGUUCAUCCAGACCAGAGAAGAAAUCGUCACUGGCAGUCAUAUCUGAGAACCCACCAAAUUCAUCUUCUUCCUCAUCUUCCAUUGUGUCUUUCUCUUCUCUGCUUUCUGUGUUUGUAAUUUGGGGUAGAAGCUCGUCAUCCAUGGAAGUUGCAGGUGAUGAGCAAGUGGGUUUGGCUGCCGGCGAAGGUUUGUUAGAGUCACUGGAGGUGACGGUUUGUGGUGUGGUGGUCUUUUGACGGGUGCUACCAGCGAGCGAGUUUCGGUGGGAGGGUGCUGGGUGGUUGUGCUCGCCUGUGUAGCUGACGAUGAACAUUCCUGGAUCGGAUCUGUUUCGCUCAACUUGUUUCCGGGCCAAACACCCCUUUGAGCUGCUACAUCUGUAAUAACCCCUGUUAUAACAGAACAAGACAACCUCAGUUAGACGCCGGCAAAGAAACUAAAUUCGAACGGAAAAUACAGCCAAGGUUUGAUAAGCAACAUAUAAAUAUAUUACCUGGGAUAUGGGGAGCCUUUGAUGGGUUUUUGGCCGUAUUUUCUCCACGCCCACACAUCUGAAGAAAGGGACUCUGCUGGUACAUGGCAUAUCUUCUUUAGCUGGUUCUUCCUGUAGUUACAUACAUAUAUGAGCUUCUUUUGAAUUUCUUGGGAGAGGUUUCUAAGAAAUUCAUUCUUUAAUAGACUGAAAAAGGUUUACCUUCUUUUAGAUCGAGGCGCAUGAGAAUUUGCAGUGGAAGUGAGGGAAGCAGCAUGAGAUUGCUUGGGUUGCUUUAUCUGCGUUUGUUCCUUGGAGACAGAAAGAGAAGAGAGAGGAGAGAUGGGGGCGGGCUGUGGUUGUGGAGAAUAAAGAGUCUGAUGGGAUCUGGGGAAAAAGGGCUUGUAAAGCUCAUGCAACUCCCCAAUGCCAUUUCUUGUUUCAAAUGGAUCCGGAAGAGAGAAAAGAGGACCAGGUGGUUCACUAGCAAAAGAAGAAGAAGAAGAAGAAAAGCAGAAAUCUGGUCUGGUAAAGGAACUGGCGGAGUCGCUGGUGGUGAUAGAAGCAGCUGCAGUGGAGGAGGAGGAGGCAUAGGAGGUGGUGGUGCAGCCUCUGACCACAGCGUGAAGAUCCCAGUCGUCGUCCAUGGCAAAGGGUAGCGUAUGAGACAAAGCUCUGCAACAAGCGUUGGAGAGAGAAGACAAAAGAAGGCGCUGACUUUUUCAGAGAGAGAGAGGAUUUAGGGAGGGAGGGAGUGUAAUUGAGUAGGGGAAACGAUAAAUUUAUAUAUAGAAUAUAGAUAGAGAGAGAGAGAGAGAGAAGCUGGGACCUUGGCAUUUCAAUGUGCUUGGCUUGUCUCUAACAGUUCAAAAUUUUGAGUCAGACAAUUGAAAACCGGUUUUGGUUUUUGGGUUGACUUUGUAAAAUGUCAAACGGUGGGUCCCUUUGAUGAUGAUAAGGAUUAAAAAGUCUACACCCACUUUUAUUUUUCAGUAGAGAACGGAAUUACCGACAAUUCGCAAAGCAGAACCGUAUCAAAAUUACAGCUACUCACUAUCCCAUGUCCUCACUUCUGCGUGUGCGUGACGCAUCCCAGGAAUUUACAUUUUCAUUUUAAUUUAUAAAUUAUUUAUUAUUUCUAUGAAAAUACUUUAUUAAUUCUAUGAAAAUACUUUAUUAAUUAAAAUCAAUAAUUAAAUUAUAUUUUAACAAAAUAUAUAUAUAUUAAUUAAUUUAAAUAUUAAAUUUUUAUGUGAAUUUACAUAUAUAUUUUUAGCAAUUGAAUUAAAUUAGAAGUAUUCUAUUUUUUAUUCUAAAAUAAAAUAACUUUAAAUUAUAAGCUAAUAUAGGAGAUAAAUAUUUAUAUAAUGGAUAAUUUAAAAAAUGUGUACUCCAAUUUAACCUGUAUUAUGAAGGAAUCAGAAAUCACCACUUGGCAAUGCGUGGGAGAGAUAAGGUGUGUGAUUCCUUGUGUGGACGAUGGACAAAGACACUCCAAGCAUCCAGCGCCAGAAUCUACUGAUGCCCGUUUCGCUUUGGCACACGUGCAAAACCCAAGCACGCCAAUUGUAAACUUCCACUCCAAAUUUCACUGCUUCCACCGCAUUAUUCUCCUUUCUAUGUGAAUUUGCGACUGCAACUACCAAAUAUUGACGUGUUUCCUUGACCCAGCGAGUAUCAUACGGAUCGGAUUACGCGCUGACUUCUAAUACCAUAUCCAACGGACUACGCGCGUUAAAAGUGGAAUUCCACACCCACAAUUAAGGAGACUUUUUAUCAAUUGAAGACGUUAGGAAUUUACACAAAAUAGCGCAUGACGGUGCACGAUAGAUACAAGUGACGUGGCAUUUGACAGGUGGCAGAUAGUCCUUAUGUCCACAUUCUCCUAUUUUUUCUCCCUAGUUGUCUAGACAAGAAAAAUGUGGUAGCCGUUAUCAGCCAUGGCACGGCACGUGAUUUGGAUACGUGUCCCUCGCCACAAAUCCAAGGAUAGAGUGAUCGGACGGUGGGGAAAUAUUUCAAAACGGCAGAUGAGGAAAAGUUUUAUUGUUUUCCAACGGUGGAUGAUGGGCCGAGACUGUUAAAUAAGGGCAAACGACAAUAUUUGAAAUUUAUCCAUUGAUAUUUAUAUUUUUUAAAAAUUAUUUAUUUAUAAUUUUAAAAUUAAUAAACUAAUUGGCGUCAAAAAAAAAAACAAUUGCAUGUUUUAUUAUACAUAUAAAAAAUAAAAUUUUAAUUUUAAUUGAAUUUAAAAUGAAUUAGAUAGUGAUUUUUAUAAGUAUUAUAUUUAUAGGUGGCACAAAGCAUUUAAUUUUAUUAAAAAAUAAAAAUUAAUUUUAUAAAAUUAUUCUCAAAUUUAUUAUCCACGUAUUAAUAAAUAAACACAGAAAACCAUUUAAAGAAAUUAAAUACAUUGCAUUCACGAAUUUAAUUGAGAUUUAUAAAUUUUAGAUUCAACACCCUCAACUCUCUCGUCUCAAUUUAUUUUUGAAAAAAUAAAUACAUCAACCACAGAGUUUUUUUUAAAUACAUCAACCAAGAGGUUUUUUUUUUUUUUAAAAGAAGACAAGUGCCAAAUAUCUAAAAUUUCAAUGUUUUCGAUCCAAAUAAAAUAAAACGUUGUGAAAAUUAAUUAUUCAAACCAAAUUUAUAUUAAUAAUAUUUGAAUUCGUAUUAUAUUUAAUUAAAAAUUAAUUUAAAUAAUUUAAAUUUAUCUCAAAUCCGAUUAUUAUUAUCCAAAUAAAAUUUAAAUUCGUUUAAUCUUAUAUAUUUUAAUUAAUAAUUUAUAUAAAAAAUAUUUUUAUUAAUAAUUUUCAUUUAAAAUUUUUUAAAAAUAUUUAAAUUUUAAUUUUUAAAUAAAAAAUAUAUAUAAAUUUAUAAAUAUUAUUUUAAAAUAUAUUUUUUAUAUUAAAUUAAUUAUUUAUAUAAAUAGUAGAUGCCUACACAUAAAAUUCAAAUCCGAUUUGAAUUCAAUCUAAAUCUAUAACGGUUAUUAUUUUUAAAAUUCAAAUUCGUUAUAAAUUUGAUUAUAACUAUCCAAAUUUAUUUUAUUAAGAUUCGGUAGGAUUAGUAUUUGAAAAUCAGUUGUGAUCCCUAAGCGACGGUGAUGGUGCACAAUGAAGAAGAGAAGAAUGAGUUUCAUUUUGGUUCACUGCCACUACUACUUUUGCACCUUCUCUCUUUCCUCUCUGCAACUCCGAAUUCUUUUUUUUCCACCCGAAGCCUACUCAGUAUAUUGACGGAGAGUUGAGAAACACCUGCCGUAAAGCCUAUCGACAAAGCCUGACACGUUGGUGGGAGUCUCCUGUUUUUUCAAAAGGAUCUAUUGGAUUUUGAGUAAUGCAAGGAAAAUUCUCAUAACAAGUCAUACCCCAUUCGAUAGUGGCUAUCUGAUUUGAAACAUUACAUUCUUCGUCAAUGACCAAGUUCAUAUUGAAUUUCUGUAUAGAAUGUUGGUCAAACAUUUACACAACGAUUUUCAUUCACAACCUAAUUGUAUCCACCUGGUUGGGCGUUAGCACGAUAGAAUUGAAAUUGAACAAGACAUUUUCACGUAAAGUUUAAAACCUUUUGAGAAUAGAUAGGGUUAUGGCCUUAUGGAAUAUGGAUGGCAUAUAAAUGAUUACCCACAAACACAACGUAGUGGAGAGCUUGUAGGGUCUUCAAUAACUUGAAAGUUUGUGAUCUUAUUAGAGAGAGAGGACCAAGGGAGGCAUCAUAUGGGUUCGGCAGAAGGAAAUGUCACUGAUAGAUACCUUCGCUGUCAAAGAAGAUAACUACCCAUAAGCAACCCAACCUCCCACUAAAAUUCCUUCAUCCAUCAGCCUUUCGUGCAAUCCGUUGAGAGAGAGAAACAGAGACAGAGAGAGGCUGACAACAAUAGUGGGAGAGAAGAUGCCACACUAGUGAAAAAUAAGGUGUACCCACCAAAACUGGAGGCAGUGCCAAGUGUCUCCUUAACCACUAUCACUAUCAUGGUAAAAUACAUAUUUACAUAUUUAUAUUUUAAUAUUUUUAUUUAUUAGAUAUUUCAAUUUUAAUUAUAAUUUAACACAUAUUUAAAUUUUUUAAAAAAAUUACUUUUUAGACUCUAAAAUUUAAUGCAAUUAACAUUUUUAUUUCUCUAUUUUGACGAUCCAAAACUUAACUCCCUCAUUUUCUGUUCAAUCUUUCAUCCAAAAUAGCCAUUUGGGACACAUGAAUUUACAAAAUUGACCCCUACUAAAAGUUUCUCUAUUUCAAAAUCACGAAACUCUAUCCCUCUUUCUUCUUUCUCUCUCUCGCUUUCUCUGUCAAAACUUCUCGCUCUCUUAGCUUUCUUUCUCUCUCUCGUGCUCUCUCUGUCUCUAUCGAAACUUGUCCCUCCCUCGCGAUCUUUCUAUCUGUGUCAAAGCCUUGUCCCUCUCUCUCAUGCUCUCUUUGUCUCUAUCAAAGUCUUGUCCCUCUCUCUAGUGCUCUCUCGGUCUCUGUCGAAGCUUUGUCCCUCUCUCUGUCGAAGCUUUGUCCCUCUCUCUGUCUCUCUCUCUCAAAACGUCUCUCUCUAUCGAAACUUGUCUCUCUGUGUGUGGUCCUAUUGUCCCUCAUUUCCUUAAUCUUCUCGAGAAUCACUGAACCCACCACAUUCUGAAGGUGGAGUCAGUGUUCAUUUACGCAAAAGAAAAUAAGAUCGUAGUUCACUUCCAAUGUACAAAAAUCCCUUUUGUUUUACUUCCAUAGACAAAUUCGUUGCUUUACUGUUUAGAUUUUUUGAGUUAUAAUAAAUAAUUUUUUUAUUUAUUAGUUUUUCUAUAGUUUACUGUUUAGAUUAGGGGUUUAAUGAUUUGAAAAUUAAUUUUGUUAUUUCUUUUUUAUUUCCGCAGAUAGCAAUGGAUAAACCUGAGAGAUAUAAUUUGUUAAUCAAAUAUGAAGGGUGUGAGGAGAGAAUUAACAAUUUACUUGUUCACGGGUACUCCUACAUUAAACUGUUAACUGACAUAUAUGAAUUGUUGAAUUUAAAGAGUGAUUUUAUAGAGACUAAAGCUGGUAAUGGUUUGACAAUAGAGAAUGAUGUUGAUCUAAUGCUUAUAUUUGAGCUUUACAAGGAAAAUUGAGAAAUACCCUUAGUUGUUACAACUAAGAUAGUAGCAUUAAAUGUAGAAAUACCUAGAGGAAAUAGGAAAGGGAAAAUGUAUAUUAUAUUGAUAUUAAACAGGAAGUUGAUACUGUUGAAAUUAUAUCAGUUAGGAAUUGUGAGAGGCCAAGUGGUAAUUGCAGUAAUACAGAUUAUAUCAAGGGCAAUGAGGGUGUGUUUCAUGAAGUUAAUAUUGAAGGUGCCAGUACUGGGGAUAGUGAAGAUGAGGAAAAUGUAGAAGGUGAAAAAAAUGUAGAAGGUGAAGAAAAUAUAGAAGGUAAGGAAAAAACAUAGAAGGGGAGAGAAAAAUGUAGAAGGAGCUGAGGAUAGUGUAGAUUCUGUGGGUGCUAAUAGUGAAGAUAGUGAUAAUAAUGAAUUGUGUAAAGAGAUUGAGAUGGAGAAUGAAAUGACAGAUGAAAAUGAUUAUAUCCCUUUCUCUGAUUUUCAUAGUGGAGAUGAAGAUAAUAUUGAUGAAUAAGCUAAAAAUAUAGAUGAUCAGAGUUGUCAAAAAAAAAAAUGGAAAGAUCCUUUCAAAGGAUAAUACUCAGAUCCAUUUUCUUGUUAAGAAGAGAAAGAAAUACAAUUUAAAAUUGAUAAGUUUUUGAUAAUGUCUAAGCAAUUAGAGAUACACUUAGAGACUAUGCAGUCAAAUGGGACUUUACAAUAAUUAGAAAAAAAAAUAAUAAUAGAAGAGUCACUGCAAUAUGUGACCAUGGUAGUUGUCCUUGGAGAUUUCAUGUUUCUGUUUUACCUAACAAGGUUGCAUUUAUUAUUUAAACAUUGCAAGAUGAACAUACAUAUAUAAGACCAAUUGACAACCAAAAUCAUAACCAUACUUACAUUUGGAUUGCUGAAAAACUUAAGAGUAGUUUGAGAACUAAUUCUAAUGAGUUAUAAAUUGAUGCAAAAUGAAUUGAAGGAAAAAUGGGAUGUUGAACCCCAUAUAUGGCAGUUGUAUAGAGCCAAAUAUAAGACAAAAGAAAAAAAAAAGGUUUGCAUGAAGACUCUUACAAACAAUUGCACAAAGAUUCUUACAAACAAUUGCACAAGUUUGUACACUUCUUGAAGAUGUUCAAUCUUGGUACUGUAGUGAAAAUUCAAAGUGAUGAACCUGUUAAUUGUAAUGAAUCUAGGGUAUUCAAGAGAGUAUUUAUUAUGUUUGAUACUAUUAGAGAUUCAUAAAUGGAUAUAGACCCUUUUUUGGAUUGGAUGGAUGUCACCUUAAGGGACUUUAUGGUGGGAUAUUCCUAUGUGCUAUUAUAUUGUAUGGCAAUAAGGGAGUGUUGCCCUUAGCUUUUGCAAUAGUUGAAUUUGAAAGUGGAGAUUGUUGGAGGUGGUUUCUACAAUGCAUGGAGUCAUGUAUUGAGCAAGGUACAGAUGACUGACCAUGGACAAUAAUGUCUUACAGAUAAAAGGUAUAUGUUCAUUAUCUGCAUUAUAUUCCUUCCACAAUUAUUUCAAUAGACUUGAAAACUUUUUUUUUUGUAGGGAUUAAAGGAAGCUGUGAAGGACAUAUUUCCUUCAGCUGCUCAUAGGUUUUGCUGUAGACAUUUAUACAAUAAUUUCAAGAAAGAGUUUCUUGGAUUGACAUUGAAGAAGGACUUUUAAAAUGCAGCCAAAGCUACUAAUGGAUAUGAGUUUUGGCUACAUAUGAAAAAUAUGAAACCUAAGAAGGAGCAGAAGCCUUAUGAUUGGUUACUGAAGAUAUCACUUUCACAGUGGUCAAGACAUGCAUUUUGGACAACAACAAAGUGUGACAAUUACACCAACAAUUUCACUGAAUCAUUUAACAGCUGGAUAGAAAAUCUGAGGGGUUUGCCAAUCAUUCAACUGCAACUUGACAGAGUAAGGUGACCCCAAGAACUCAAAAAGACUUUGAAAAAAAGUUAUAAAUUAGAAUAGAUGUAUGAAGUUAAUUCUUAGAAGAAAUAAUGAAGUUGAAUGUCAUGAAGGUCCUUGCAGAUUUGUAGUUUCACUUGAAAUGAGAACUUGUUCAUGUGGUUGGUGGGACAUUUCAGACUUUCCAUGCAAGCAUGUUGCUAAAGCAAUAGGAUACAAGAGAACUAAAAUUGAAGACUUUUGUGAUGAAUGUUUUACCAUUUCUACAUACAAAAAGAUAUAUCAACAUGCAAUAUAUUCUAUACCAUAAAGAGAUUUGCAACCAUAUGAGGAUCACCCACCAAUGCAGCCUCCUCCUUUGAAAAGGCAACCGGACAGACAAAAAAAGGCAAGGAGAAGAGAAGAUGGUAAGGCAAGUCCAACUCUAAAAAGAAGAAGGAAUGCCACAGUAGUUUGCACUAGGUGUCAGAGGUUGGAACAUAAUAAAAGAACUUGUCAGGUUACACCUAGUGGGUUAAGAAUAUCUUUCUAAUUACUAUUUUUACUUACAUAUAUGUAACGACCCGAAAAUCGGAUCGCUACCGGCGCUAGGAUCCGGGUCGACUUAAGGCCGCCGGGACCCGUAGCAAGCCUGACAUAAAACCUGUGAACCUGUAUAAUCCCAUACAUGAUCAACAACAUGCAUAAAAAUUAAAACUUUUCUUUCCAUACUCAUCAACCAAACUCAACCUGCGCAUAACAUUAACAUAACAAUGAUCCCUCCUUGGGAUCUCAUCUGUUCCCCCAAUGGGUGAUAUAACAUACGUUGAGUUGGUUUACAUAAACAUCAUAAAAUAACCAAGAUCAUGUAUAAAAAGGGAUACAACUUUCUAUGGUCAAGCACACACUAACAACCAUAAACCUCAUUAUAUAACUAUACUGUACUUUUACAUUACAAUUUGAUCAUGUCCAGUGCUAGUUAUUACAUAAGCAUGACUUCUUUACUCUAUCCGGACUCCCGCACUAUACUGUACCUGCAAGCCUGGGGUAAAGGGAGAGGGGUGAGCUAAAAGCCCAGUGAGUAGAGCUAUUAAAACACAUUAACACUAUGCUCUAUGAAAUGCAUCAUAACACAAACAGUUCACAUAAAGGUUGGGUGAACUUGUCACCAAUUAGUCCAAGCUAACAUAGUNNNNNNNNNNNNNNNNNNNNNNNNNNNNNNNNNNNNNNNNNNNNNNNNNNNNNNNNNNNNNNNNNNNNNNNNNNNNNNNNNNNNNNNNNNNNNNNNNNNNNNNNNNNNNNNNNNNNNNNNNNNNNNNNNNNNNNNNNNNNNNNNNNNNNNNNNNNNNNNNNNNNNNNNNNNNNNNNNNNNNNNNNNNNNNNNNNNNNNNNNNNNNNNNNNNNNNNNNNNNNNNNNNNNNNNNNNNNNNNNNNNNNNNNNNNNNNNNNNNNNNNNNNNNNNNNNNNNNNNNNNNNNNNNNNNNNNNNNNNNNNNNNNNNNNNNNNNNNNNNNNNNNNNNNNNNNNNNNNNNNNNNNNNNNNNNNNNNNNNNNNNNNNNNNNNNNNNNNNNNNNNNNNNNNNNNNNNNNNNNNNNNNNNNNNNNNNNACCAAGUGAAAACAAGUGAAAAUCUCGAAAGAUUUAGAGGAAGAACAUCAAAAAUGGGUGAGAGACGGCGGAGAGCUCACCUUGGCCGAAAAUGGGAAAAAGCUCGCCCGUUUUCGGCUAAGGGACCCUUUUAUAGUGGCUGGCCAGACCACGUUCGGGGGCCGAAUGUGCCUCCGCAUGCAUGUCAUGUUCGGCGGCCGAACAUGAGGUUCGGCGGCCGAACCUGGACUUCCCUCACUCAUGCUUUCGGGGGCCUAACGUGCCUCCAAAACGCAUGCAUGUUCGGCGGCCGAACUUGACUUUCGGCGGUCGAACCUGGGUUUUCCUCAAAUGCUAUUUUCAUGCAAGAACUCAUUUUCUUCCAUACUUAAAACCAUUAAAAACAUGAAAACAUUUUACAAAAAACAUGAUUUUACCCUUCUAGAGGUCUCCGACAUCCGGGAUUCCACCGGACGGUAGGAAUUCCGAUACCGAAGUCUAGCCGGGUAUUACAAUAUAUGUCCAUUUACUAUUUCAAUUUAUUUGACUAUUUCUACUAAUUUUGACUGUUAGGGAAGUCAUUUUGAAAUGGAGAAGACUGAACAAGAGACAAUAAACAUUAAUUCUACUCAACCAAUGAAAUUCCAUAGCCAAACAUCAGUAAACUAAAAUACUUUUUGAAAAAUUAAAGACAUUUUGAAACAUAUUUUUUUGGACAGUUUUUUUUGCUUGUUGUGAUAUUUUUUGUGAACAAGUGUGCAGAUGACUGUGUGGUUGUCGAAACCGGUCAAAAAUAACCUUUUUGAUUAUCCACAAUUUUACAACUGUAGAUAGUGGUAAAAGGAUCGAAUUAAUAGGGAAUUGAUACUCAUCUAUUUUCCUUAUCAACACUAAGUAAAUAAAUAGAUAAUAAAAGUAAAAUGGGGGGUUUUGAGAUUUGUUGAAUUAAACUAAUACCGAAAACAAUAAAGUAAGGCAAAUAAUUAAAGUAAAGAGGAUUCAAAUAUGAGAAAAGCUCUAGUUGAAGAAUUGGAUCCACUUCAGUUUUUGGGAUUGAUCAUUGACACUUAGGUUUCUUUAUUUGAUUCAAUAAAUUAGUUAUGGAGGUGGAAGACGUUUCUCACCACCAUAUCCCUCCUUAAUCAUAGAUUAACUAAGAAACGUUCUCUAAUUAAUCACUAAUCAAUAAGUUGCCAAGGAACUUGAGGCAUUUACCAUCAAUCAACUGUUAAUUGCAUUAAGAAAUAGAGAGACCUAAUUCUAGCUACCCAAACGUAUGGUGAUAUCACUAAAUUAUGCAAUCUCCUUGAUUUUUACACCAAGAGUUACUUGUGUUUGAAUAAUCUAAGCAAUUACGGACUUAAAACUAUCCAAACUAACAAAUUAUUACUUUGCAAUCAAGAAUCAAUGGGCCUAUUGAUCUAAACAACAAAGCAAAAAUGGAAUUAAGCAUGAAAUUGCAUAAAUAUUGAUAAACAAAAGAUAAACAAUAUAUGUUCAGAUCUCCCAAUCCAUAAACAACUUGAAAUUUCACCUAAUUUUCAACUAGAAAAAGAGGUUUCAGCCACUCAUGGCUGAAACAAAACACAAAAAUAAAAGAAAGAGAAGAGGAAAGAGGAAUCGAUUGGCGGCUUGGAGAGGGAGGCACAUAGCUCUUCAAAUCCGAAAGUGGAGAAGCUUCUCUCUUGCUUGUUUAUGAUCCUUUUAUAGCUGAAAGUGUUGCUCUAGAUUUCCUUAUUGAGAUAGAGUUCUCCUUUGAAUUUUGAAUUUUAAAUUUUGAACUCUUAGAAUGCAAGUGUACUUUCUUGAGAUUUGGCUUUCUAAAUAAGCAUAAUUGAGCGCUGAGGUGUUUUCACAUUUUUAAUAAGGGAAAGACUUCUUGAAGAUUUGAAAUUUGAAUUUCCCACUACUCUGCUGUCUGUACUUUCCUUAUUUAUCUUCACUUCAGCUGCAACUUGGCUUGGGCAAACAAUUUGGGCAAACCAUGCUUAUUCUCCUUUAUCCUCUUUUAGGCAGUUUUAAGAGCAUUUUCACCAAAUUACCUCUUUACACCAUUUUCUGUAAAAUAAUAUCAAAACUACAGAAUUAGGCAGAAAAUGUGUAAAUUAACAUUAAUAACAACAUGAUAAAUGGGUCUAAAUUUGAUUUGAUCAGCAGGUUGUGAGUUUUUUGUUGAAUAUAUUGGAUAUGCAAUAUGUUUUUUUGGACAAAUUUAAUAAGUUUUAUUUUGUUCAGAUUGGAUGAAAUUGUAAUUUUUUUAUACAUAAUUAGUAUGUAGCUUUUUGAUAUAUAUUUUUUUACAGAUUUGAUUUGCAGGUUUUGAACAUAUAUUGAUCUUCUUAAGAGCUUUUGAUGUGCAACUAUUUUGAAUAUAUAAUGAUUAUUUCAGAUAUACAGAUAUUGUAAAGUUAUUUUAGACAAAUUUGAAGAAUUUAGAUAGUUUUUUUUUUAUAUAUAUUUUGUGAUAUAAUGGAUAAAUUUCAUUUAUAAUGUAAUAGACUUAACCAGUAGAAUGAUAAGACUGAUGUUGUUAUUCAAGUGAUCAAUCUUUUAUAUGAAUAAAUAUGUAGUUUUUUUUAGAUCUUGUGUAUACAUUUACAUUUCUUAUUGGCUACUUUUUAAAUAUUUUUAUGUACUUUGUAACAAAAUAAUAUAUUUGUGAAUGAUACUUAAUUAACUAAACAUUCACAACACUAUAGUCUAUAUACAUUUAAAUAUAUAAACACUAUAGUCUUCAUAUUUUUAAUUUUUCAGAGACUUUAGUCUUCAUAUGCUCAGUAUUUUAAACACUUACGUUCUCAUAAAAUUAAAUAUUCAAAUAUUUUAAUUUUUUGUACUACAAAUAGUUGGACAAAAAUAUAUUAAUAAAAAAAAUAAUUUCUAAUAUUAUUUCAAAUCACUUUCCUUAUUAUUCCAAUUACAACAAAAAUCAAAAUAAUAUACAUUAUUCUCAUUGACAUAUAAUCUCCAAUAUUUGCAAUCUCAUUCCUAAUAACUCUUUGUUCUUUUUUCAUUUUCUUCAAUUCAUUCUUCAUCUUUGCAAUAUUUUCUAUUACCUUUUCUAGCAUUUCUUCUAUAAAUGUUCUUUUUUCAUUUUUUUUAUCCUUCUACCACUAGAUGGAGUUAAACUUUGAUUCAUAAGUUUACACCACCUACAAAAACUUCUUCAUACAUUAUCUUUGCAAAAAUAAUAUAUUUAUUAAGUUUUCGGCUGACUCAGAAAUCUUUAUUUCGGCCAUUUUUCAUAUCUAUAGUUCACAUUCUUUAAUCUUUCAUUCUAAUAUCUGGUAGACCCACUUAAUACAAACAUUAUUUUUCCUCAACAAUAAUUCACAACCAUGACCGAAAUGAAAUAGAAAAUAUAUGAGAGACAAAAAAAAUAGAGGGACUAAAAAGAUGAAAAUGAAAAAAAAAAAAGAAUCAACAAUGGUUAAAGGAAAAUAAAGAGAUGAUAAUGAGAAAGAAAUAAAAAAAAAAAAAGAAAGAAAGAAUCAACAAUGUUGUGGAAAUGGAAAUCAAAACAUUCCCGUUGAGUGGGUUUUAAUAAGUUUAUCAAGAGAUUUUGUGAAAAAAAAAUGUCACUACCACUACUAAAAUAUUAUUUUGAAUGGAAGGGCUACGAGUUUGGACGGAAUAGAAAAUGAAAAACUUAAAUGUUGGAUUGUCAAAAUAAAAGGAUAAAAAUAUUAAUUACGUUACAUUUCAGAGAUUAAAAAAUAAUUUUUACAAAAUAUUAUUUUAAACAUCUAAACUUUAAAAAAAAAUCUACUUUUAAAUAAAAUUUUAAAAUCAUAAAUUUAAAAAAAAUUAUUUUUAAACACAAUUUUAAAAUUAUAAAUUUAACCAUAAAUUUAAUAAUUUAUUUUUAAAUAUAAUUUUAAAACUAUGAAUUUAAUAAAAUUAUAUGUAAAAAUAAUACUUUUUAAAAUUCAAGUAUUUAUUAAAUCAUGAUUAAAUUAAGCUAUUUAUAGAUAAAAAUAUUAAAAUACAAGUGUGCAAAUAUGUAUUUAAUCUUAUAUAAUUCAUAUAUUUUUGGAUGAAGGUAAACCAUACUUGCAAUUUGAACCUUCAGUUGUGCCCGCUGCAUCAUUAGACGCUAUCGCAGCUUUCUGGUGUGUUUUGGGUUUAAUCCAUAGACAAGAGCACAGAUACUGAAAAUUCUUAAGACAAGACUUUUAGUACGGAAUCCAGUGCUUGGGCUCAAUUUUUUGCAUAGAAGCAACUUGGAUAUUAAGAAAAGGAAUAAGUACUAAGCUUUUCUAGAGUGGGAAUUGCAAGAUCCUAUCUUGUGUCAACUUAGCCGUCAUGUUUCUUUCUCCAAGUAUUCAAAGAUAGGUGAAAAAUAUAUAUAUAUAUAUACACACACACACCAAGUUAUAUUGUUUAAAUUUCCCAAGACAAUAGUAGCAAAAGGGACAUGGUAAAGUACUUAAGUCGAGUCCAGCUUAUAGAAUCAUGCAGUUAGUGAGAUUAUACCCUAGAUCUUCCACAAUUCAGCUCAACGCCACACGUUGUAGAUCUUUCCUUUCAACCUUGGUCCGCCCCUCGUAUUUCUCCACCAAUAUUCAGAGACAACGAACCAUAUACAUUCUAGAAAGCGACCACAACUCAAGUUAAAACAAAUGGAGUCGACUUUUGUGGACAUGGCUACAAGAGCAAAUCUCAUCUAACCAGUCCUCUAGACCAAGCAAUGAUGGAUGGAGUCUGGGCCCAAGGUACCAUCAAGUUCAAUUGCGACCCCGCAGGAAAGUCCCCAUCAAGAGUUCAAGGGACGCUACAAUACAAAUGCAAAUAUAGCCAGGAAGUGGAAAGGCCAAGCAUCAACAGCAGUGUGCCAAAGAUUAAGAACCUUAAUUUGGAUAAGUGUUAAUAUCGCAUUCACGCUAAAAUUUUGACAAGAAAAUUACAUGUUCAUUGCUAUACAUCAAACACUCCAUUAUGCAUCACUCAAAUCCAACAAAUCACCCCUAACAUAUUUAGUAUCAUUUACAAGGAUAAAGAAGAAUCUUUCUUUGAAAUGUAAAAUCAUAACAAACCUAACAUCUAAAAUUAGAGCAUUAAAAAGAUACAAAUCUAUCAACAUAGUAAAAAAUAUACACUAAGAAAAGGAUUUUGGAAGGAAUAAAGGAGGAGGAAGGAACUCUACCUGAUUUCCUGCCCACUGAUGGCUCAAUGGCAUAGGAAAAAAGCUUGAUUUGCAACCAGCUGUUUAACAUGGUCUUAUAGCUAACAAAACAAUCAAACUUCACAGUUCCCACAACAUCUGGAACAGCUUGAGGCAACAUAUAUUGAUGCUCUGAUGUAAGAGAUCCAAAGAAUUAAGGGAAGCUGCAUAUGUCAGCCUGCCAUUUCUUUAUCAACUAGAACUCGUCCACAAGGAGCUAAGCUUGGAUGCAAGUUUUGCACUCUUGUAAUCCUCUCUAAGCUCAAUAAACCUGAAAUUGACAGCCGGAUCAAAGUUUAUUCAUCAGAGAUGCAACUUUGAUAAUAAGAAACCUAAAGAGGGGAGGAGGGGGGGAGUGAGAGGUGGGGUGGGUCAUAACUACACCACUCCUUAGUGUGUUGUUCCUUCCUAGUGUUCUGGCUGAAGACAGAUUUUGAGAUAUUCUCCUUACCUCUAUUGAAUGGAUAUAUAUUCACGAUUUUUGCAUUUGAACAAUUUUGGUCCCCCACCCCCACCCCCCUUUUUCUCUUUUUCAGUUAACCAAAGGUAACAAGUCAUGUAAUAGCAAGUAUUUCAUGCAAUAUUUUUGAAAUUAUUUCUGUCAAAAAUUUUCCUAAAGAAUUGCAGUUGAAGGAAUUGAUUUACAUUUGAGAAAACAGUCUGGAGAAUGGAAUGGAAGAUGUAUACUCACAUAGCCAAACUCCUAUAAGUUUGGGAUUAAAGUCAUAAGCUGUGACUACAAACAACCAAUGCUAAUACAUUGAAGCAGAAUAUAAAUAUUAUUAAUGAUACCUUUGCGCAUCUUUACGGAUGCUGGGGGUACCCUCAAACAAAGAGGAGAGGCUUUCAGGAGCCACAAUGAAUACAUUUGCCAUUCUGCAGACAAUAAUUUAGUCAUUGAGCAGAGCUGAUCCAAAUAAAUAAAUAUUUAAGCCUCCUCUAACUUACAUGCCCAAUAAUUCAAAUUUCUCAUCAACAGAAGGAGCAUUGAAACUUCGCACAAAUUCUCCAUACUCAGUUAUGUCACGUUUCAGCCGCAGUCCUCCACUGCAGAGAGAACAGACGGUGGAAGACAAAACAAAAAUGUUACAAAUUCCAGGUGCCCAUGGAAUAAUAAUAAUAUUUAUUUUAAGGAAAGGGAAAUAGCCAAAGUAAGAACAACAAUUGCUGCAUCGUGUACUGAAGAAUAUUUUACAUGGUAGGGAAAAAAGAUCUAUACCAGCACUAGAAUGUUGGUAAUUGCAAAAGGGGGUAAUUCCUCACCAGGAAAAAAUAAUUACAUAAGCUUCUAAAGUGUCACUUCCAGCCUUCCAAAAGCAGAAAAGAACUUAGGUAAUGGCAAGCUAUCUACUAAAAUACAAUACCCAGGAGCAGGAGCAACCCCAAUAUCAAAUUGUUAGCACUUACAUGCUUAUGAGACCAUCGACAUAAUAAAUGCUACACACUGGAUCCAGCCACAGUCUGGUCCGGAACUAAAACUAGAACAGUCCAAACCAGUUGUGAAGCAGAUUGGAACUGGUCCAAACCAGUCAUGAAGCGGAUUGGAACUGGUUGGGCAGAUCUGAUCUGCUCCAUUCUAGAGCCAAAACUCGAUUUUUUUUUCUUUAAAAAAAUAUUGGGUUUGAUAAAAAAACUAGAACCUGAACUGAGGCAGACCAUGUGGCCUGGUUCCCCUCCCCUGAAACUGGAACCGGCCAGGUGGCCAGCCCUACAACAGCUUAUUGAAUUAAAAAUGGAACUAAAUGCUGUCUCCAACUUUUUAUCAUUCGAGUCAACAAAUUCUAGAUAGACAGAAGAACUUUGGGAAACACUUUCGACAUGCAAUCACUGAAGCUGACUUACUCUUUAGUAAAAGAGGAAAAAUAAAACCAUAAAUGUGAACAAAGAUUACCAAGGUAAAAGUUUACAGCAUGGAACUUCAAAGAAAGAUGAAUUACCUGGGGUUAAAAGUGAAUUUCUGCCAGUGAUUAAGCAGUUCUUUAUGUAAGCGAUUUCCCUAAAAGAAAUAAAUAAUCACAUGUUAACUUUCUACUGUUCAUGUAAAUAUCAUCUGAAUAAAGUUCAUUUCGAUAUAAGAAAAUAGCGACAGUCAGAAAACUGGGUCACAGAUAGCCAAGCAAUGAGUAUAGAAGGGUCAAAAAGAAUCUCAGAAGAAAAAUUUUCAUACCAAUUCAGUGAGGAAUGCUUGUUUGUUAAGACCUUCUAAUGCAGUGAAUGCAGCCUCAAGCACACGAGAAAGGUAUGCCACCACUCUAGCCAAAAGAAGAGAAAAAUGUCAUUUUGCAAAGAGAAUAGAAGAAAGAGAUAUUUUUCUUUGAUAAAAGAUAACAUUAGUUGACAUGAAAGUAUGCAGUGGAUAUUUGAAAAACCCAUUUUCAUCACCCUAUUCUCUGAAGGAUUAGUGCUGAAAUUUCAGUACUGCUCGGCUGGAAAGCAAACACAUCAUCAAAGAGAUAGAACAACGGCUAAACAAAAUGUACAUAUUCCACACAUUUCUCACAUGCUAGGAAUCUGCUCAUUCAGUUCAAAACAAAAGUUUAUAGUUUUCGAGUUGGUUAUAUUCAUACCUUGUGCAAGCAUUCGUAGGUCUAUGAUCAGGAUUAAAACCAUCAUCUGGUGAUCGAUAAUCUGUUGCCUUUUGUUCAGCUGAUAGCAAUCGCUCUACCUACACAGAAGUAUCACGAAGAAGAAGAAAAAGAAGAAGAAGAUGAUGACAAUGAUGAUAGUAAUAAUAAUAAUAAAGAAAAGUAAAUAAAUGUGCAAAAGGAAAUACAUAAUGUAAAACAGGAGAAACUGACAAAAAAAAACAAUCAUAUGAUUAAUUAAAGAUUUGUAAUAGCCCACUAGAAGAGAUCAUUGAAGUAAAAGACUGUAAGUCAAGACUCAACCUCAGCCAUAACAGUUUCAAUGCACUGCUGAAGCCCUUUAUAAGCAGCAGCCUCAGCACUGGACAUAGCUGUUGCCAUUUCUUCACAUGAAGCCGCAUGAGCACCAUCCACAGGCAGUAAGAGGCGAGAUAUAGAAUUUGCAAAAUACUGCAGAAAAAAAUCAAACCAAAUUAAGUCUCAAGAUGUUGCUCGAUAAUAACUCAACAACAUUAGUGCAACCCAACAUACUUGCUGAACUAUAGCCACACUACUGCCACACCGUUGUACAGCAACCAUGAAAGAUCUGAAACUGCUCUCACCAGCAGCAGCAGCAGCUUCUGCCUACAAAUCAACAGCAAUUUCACUUAAUUCAACUAUUAUGGGCUAAUUAUAUUCAUGUAUAACAAGGUAUAUCUUGGACAUUGAACAGAUAAUUAAUAUGCAAAGGCAGGCACAUGGUUAGGUAAUUACUGCAGAAGCAGCUGCUGCAGCCACCCUUCUACUAACACUUGUGCCAAGAACAAAUCUUUCCCUCAAAGCUGCAGCUUCAGUCAGGCCGUCUCUAGCCCUUUCAAGACCUUCUGUUAUAUAUUGUGCAACCUGCUUAUUGGAAAAAGCUGAGUACUCACAAAAGGAGUUAGCAGAUAACUGAUUUCAGUUAAGCAACUCACUUGGUCUAGCAAGCAAGUGAACACUGCUUUCACAUUGGCUGCAAGGAUACUAGGCUGUAGAAAAACCCAUUUGAAAUCAAUUGAUAAACAAGAAAUAAAAUACUGAUGUCCAAAAAAUAUAUAGAGAGAGAAAGCAUAUUCAUCUUUAAGCUCUUAUCAUACUAAAAAUUAGGCAAUUUUUUCAGUUCUUUCUUCUUUUUUUUUUUUCAUUCUUUCUCUGGAAAAAUAUAGAAGUGAAUAAGACAGCUUCCAUCAGACUCGAAUCUAAACUAAACCUCAUUGCAGCCAACAUUGUGUCUUAUAUGCAUGCCCAAUUUCUUUAGCUCAUUUGUUUUGCUUUUAGUAUUCAAUGUUGUAUCUGUUUCAAGGCAUCUACAACCUCAACAAACACUAAGGGCAGAGUACAUAAAUUUCCACCAGUGGCAAGUAAAUGAGCUUCAGAACCUUAACUACCACAGAAAAUAAAAAAUAAAUAAAGCUAAAACAAUUCACCACUGCAUGUGGUGUAAGAUGAAAACGUUACUUGAGAUGUAAACAGAUUGCAUCUUGAUAUUGCUUCUUCAUUCCAACGCACAAAUUCUGUCACAACAGUAACAGAUAUCUGUUGGUGGGAAGAUGCUACAGAAGCUCCUUUUGAUCGCCCAAUUGUCCCGGUUGACUCAGAAAGGUGCUGGCUCUCAGCAUGCAAUUCUUCCAUCUGCAUGAAGCAAUAUAGCCUGUUGCCUUGAAACCAAAGUUUGCAUUAAAAAUUUGAUCAAGAAUAACACAAUCAUUGCAAACCUUUGCUUGAUAUAAUUGUCUAAGAGAGGCCUGCUCAUGUUCAGGAUACUCAUCCUUGUGCAAAGAAAAGAGAGAUUCUGUGAGGCCUGUAACAACAUUCAACAGAGGAACUUGUUGCUCUUAAAACAAAGGAAAGCAAAAUAAAGUGUACAAAUGUAUCAAGUUAGGCUGUAGCCAUAUGAAUUCAAAUGUAUCAAGCUGCUAUUAAAACACUGUUCUCAGCAAGGACAAAUACAAAAGGCUGUAAACACAUUUCAUUCAACAUUAACACUGUUAUCCACUCAAGAGUUUAUUAAAUCAUGGACAAGAGUCUUCCAAAAAGGCUUAGCAUAUGAGUUGGCCAAAUGCCCCGAUUGCCACAUGAGCAACUAGUGUAACAAUAAUCAAUACACAAGAAACAUGUGGUUACAAGACAUUAAACAGAUAUACGACAUGUUUUUCCACAAACGCUGCAACUUUAUAUCACUAUUGCAGAAACUUAAAUAGGGAACCAGAUGGGUUAAUUCAUUACCCUCAACAUCCAAGUCACCACAUCCCACAGCUCGUAGGUCUCUAGCAAGUUCCUGAGUCUUUUCAUAUGCUACUGCUAGCAUUCUAAGAUACUGAAGCCUCAAUCAAAUGCAAAUUGUGUUAGGACACAAAUCACUUUACAUUAAAUAAGAAAAGAAAAUUCCACUCACCAAUAAAAGUCCACCUUCUUCCACAGGAGGUAAAGUCACAAGAGAAGGUUUGACUAACAAUUUGUCCAAAAGGGCUGUAAUUCGCUGCUCCAAAACUCGCUGCAUAAUCAUAUAGUUAGGAAACUAGUCACUGUUAUGAAAUCACAAACAAAUUAAGAAAGUAGUAUCAUGCCAUGUGUCCAGCAACAUAAAAUGCAAGUUAUAAAAAAAAAAUAACUGCAUGCCAGAGUACCUGCACUAAAAUUGACAUGACAUCAUUAGGAGAAGGAAAUACUGCCAUGAUUGUGGCUGCCUCUUUACGAACCGUGUCUUCUCAACCGAAAAAGAAAAGAUGCAUAAAUAUACAGUCUGAAGAAUUCAACCUCUUGCAAUAGUAUGGAAUAUGGACCUGUAAUUCCUUUGUACAAUGAAGAAAGCCCACGAGCAACAUUACUGGGACUAGCUUGAGAAACCUGAUCACCAAGAACCAAUCUCGCGUCUGCAUCCAUGACUUCCACAUCAAUGAACAUUGGCCGUGUUGCUACAUAAUGUUGCAUUGCACUGGUGCCCCUGUUAAACUGCAAUGAAAAGGACAUGAGCCACAUUACUAACAGAUAAACAGAAGAGGAAAGAUGUAAGAAGUGAGAAAAAUUUAAGCCACAAAACCACAAAUAAAACAAUGACAAGGUAAAUUUGAGCAAUCAACAUUAGAAAUUGAUAUGAAAUCCCCUUUCAAGAGAGAGAGAGAGAGAGAGAGAGAGAGAGAGAGAGAAAUAAAAACACCUUACAUAGGACUUCAAAUCACAAACAGCUAUUAAUCUAACUACAAAUUGUGAAAAUGAAUGACCAAUAAACCAUCUCACACAUGCAUAUUUAAAUAUGGAAAAUAAAAAAGAGUACAUAAGGGGAGGAAAAGUCUAGCAUUAAUCAUGUAGCCAUUAGUUUGGCGCUAAUAUCAAAAGGAUUGUCUAAUCACAUAGGAAAAAUAAUCACCUGAGAUAAAAUUUUAGCACAUUCUGCCAUGGUAGACAAUUCUCUUCUCUGAGAUGCUGCAUCAAAUCGAGCCAACAACCUGUUCUCCAGUUCUACAAAAAGAAAAAUAGCAUUAAAAAGGUCAAAAGGUCAUUACUAACAUUAGAAGGAAAGAGACAAAACUAACAAUAAGAGAAUGUCUUUUCAGACCCAACUAAAAUUUCUUCUUUUUGGCGAGCUGAAGGCAGAUGCUAGUGAACUAGUAUAAAGAUAUUCUAAACUUGGGUUAGCUAAGAACUUUCAAUGUUUAACAUCCAACUUACUAAGAAUGUCACUAUGUUGCGGAUGCAUUAUAGUUUCACAAAAGAUUAGAGUUAUUGUCAAAAUCAUGACAAGAGACCUAGAAAAUUUGCAAAGAAUGUGGCUCACCAUUGGAAUUCCAAAUAUAAAAUACUAAAUGAAACAUGGCUACAGAAAUUCAUUUUGUGCUUUGUUAAUGAACAUUUUUCCUUGCGUGAGUUGUAAACCAAAUAAAUAUAAUUUGUAUAAAAAAAUACUUGAGGUUUUUUACUGCUUAUUAUGAACGCUUGGGAGUAGAAAAAUGAUAUUAUGAAAAUUACACAAGGGAAAAUAUUGUAGAAAUGUAUUAAUCCCAUUGCACUGUUUUUCCGCAAUGUGCCCCUCAAUCGUCUAUUCAAUCAAAUGACCAUCUACGAACGUUGGAAAGCGUAACAAAAAUUUCGUUACAAAAAAACAACCAGGAGAGUCAAAUAAUACGAUUGAACUUGAUAUUUGUCUAACAAUUGUGUUUCAAUUUGUGAUGACUCUGGUUCUUUCUUUCCAAUCCUUAAAUUAGUGCAAAAAGCAUGAACCCAUUUUUCUAUUCUAUGAAAAAUUGCAAAGGGAAUCUAGGAGCGACCAUGUCAACAAGUGUCACCAAACAAACAUUUAAUGCUAGACAGAGUGUACUUGAUGAGACCCUAAUUUGCAAUUUGAAUCUUUGGAGGCUCUGGAUUAAGGCCAAACAAAGCCAACACGAGAAUACCAUCAAGUCUACCAACAAAGACUUCACAAGUCAAAGUAACAUGGGUACAAAUAUGGAUUAUGAUAGGUUGUAGAUAAGAACUUGUGACCUUUGAUUCCUUUAACCCGAGAAGGAUACUGUCAAGUCUUAUAGGGAAAAUGCCAAGGGAAUGUAAAAAGAAUGUAAUGGGUUAGAAAUCUCUAGAAGUAUUAUUGCUGUUACAAAUAACAACCAGCUGUUACAGCUGUUUUGUAGUACAGCUGGAGUUAGUUACUAUAGCUGAGAUCUAUAAAAUCUCAGUAUAUACCACAUGUAAAGGCAUUAUGAAAUUUCAAUACAAAACACUACUACUUUCUCCUAUUCUGAAUCUUAUUCUCUCCUCUCCUCUCUAAUUCUUCUUCUUCUUUUUUCUCUCUAAAUUUCCAUAUUAGAAUUUCAGUUCUAACAAUUGGUGUCAGUGCCUGUGCAUCCUCGGAUACACAGGGUAAUUGUUGUUUGGUUCUGCAACUAUGACCCAAUCUACUGUGGUGAGUCAGGAGAUGGUGAGAAUCGCUGAGGUGGAAGAACAAGUGAGAAUGUAGUAGGAAUUAACCCAGAAAAAUGGAGAUGAACUCACGGAAUUCAAGGAAGAAGUGAGGAAAAAUUGCCAAAAUACUAAUGCGAUUUUGGAUGAAUUGUGAGCUUUGAUGAUCGAACAUGUGGCUGAGAAGGGUAAAUAAGUUGGGAUUUCUAGUGAAGGUGGAAGUAGAUCAGAAAAUUGAAUACUCCAAUCAGCUUCUGUGUACAAUAGGGAACUACUCUCGAAUCAAAAAGAGAACCAGCCUAUUCUAGCUAAGGAUAAAGACAUCUUAGGUACUCUCCCUAAUCCCUUCUGCGGUAAUGAGAUGACUCAAAUGUUGUCCAAAGUUGAGUUAGUUACUUUUAAGGGAAAGGAGCCAAGAGCUUGGUUAAGGAAGUGUGCGAAGUAUUUUGAAAUUUAGAGUUCCUAAUGAACAGAGGGUGCAAUUAGCUAGUUUAUUUUUAAUGGACAAGGCUGAUUCGUGAUUUCAUAAUUGGAACAAGGAUAGAGAGCAUACUUGGGAGGAAUUUGAGAGGGCAAUAUGUAAUAGAUUUGGAGAUGAUGGAUUAGAGAAUAUAGUGGAAGGAUUUAUGAAAUUGAGAUAAGAAAUUUUGUUGAAGAGUAUCAAGAUGAAUUUGAGGAUACAAGGAUUAGGUCAGAGAGGUUAAUGCUCAAGGUGGGGGAAACUUACUUCCUUUUUAAUUUUAUUGGAGGGAUGAAGGAUUAGAUUAGAUUAAUGGUUAGAAUGAUGAAACCUGUUUCCUUGUCCCAAGGAGUAGAAGUAGCGAGAUUACAGGAACAAUUGUUAGACAAAGACCAAACAAACAGAGGAAACACCAGCUCUUUUAGAUCCUUCAGAAAUACCUACCCAAGCACUACCACCAGUAACCAAAUAGCACAAACAAAUCCUACAAACAACUAUAACAGACCAUAUCAAGCACAUCCAUACCCACCUCGGCCACCAAACACUGACCAAAAAACUAAUUUAACCGCUACUAAAGGCAGUAACACUUCUUUCAUCACCAGUCCAAGUACCACAGUCAUAGCAGCAGCAGUGAUAGAGCCAAAUUUAGACCCAUUUUCCAUAUUGAUAUUUAUGUUGAUUUACACAUUUUCUGCCUAAUUUUGUGGUUUUGAUCUUAUUUUGCAGAAAAUGGAGUAAAAUGGUAAUUUGGCAAAAAUGGCCUUAAAUCUGCCCAAAAGAGAGCAAAACUGCACAAGCAUGGUUUGCCCAAACCAGAGUUGAAGCUGAAAUGGAAGAGGAAUAAUCUGCUGUUUGACCAGACUGUUUGCCCAAACAGACUGGGCAAACGAGCCAGCAGGGCGGAAGCAGUGCGCAGGCAACAGGAAAACAGACUGUUUGCCCGAGCUGUUUGCCCAAACAACGUCGGGCAAACAGCACCAGCAAUCAGGAAACCAGCAGAUCUGCAGAAUUUGAAGACCAAGUCAACACGAGUCUUUUUGCACUCCACUCACGUGGGACAGCUCAGAAACACCUAAUUACACCUCAGCACUCUCUCCUACAUAUUUAGGAAGCCAAGAAUCAAAAAGACACAAUUGCCCUCCAAGAAUUCAAGACUAAAUAGGAAAAAGAGUCCAUCUCAUCAAGAAACCCUAAGGCAGCCUCUUCAGCUAUAAAAGGGCAUGCAAACCAGCAAAGAGAUCAUCCUUGGAUCAUCUUUGGAUCACCACACCUGCGGCAGAACCUCACCAGUAGCUGCGCCCUUGCGCCAGCCCCUCUUUUCUUCUUCUUUUUGUUUUCUUUUCUUUUCUUUUAUGUUAGUUUCAGCCAUGAGUAGCUGAAACCCUUUUUCUAGUUGAAGAAUAAGGUGAAACUUUGGUUGUUUAUGGAUUGGGAGAUCUGAACCUAUAUGUUCUACUUUUAUUCUUCAAUAUUUAUGCAAUUUCAUGCUUAAAGUUAUUAUUGCUUUGUUGUUUUGAUCAAAUUGGCCAUUUGAUUCUUGAUUGUAAGGUAAUUAUUUGUUAGUUUGGAUAAUUUUUAGUCCGUAAUUGCUGGAAUUAUUCAAAUAUGAGAACACUUGGUGUAAAAACUAGGGAAAUUGCAUAAUCUAGCAAUAUCGCUAAGCUUUUGGGUAGCUAGAAUUAGGUCUCUCUAUCUCUUAAUGCAAUUGACAGUUGUUUGUUGCCUAUGGUCCAAGGACGUUCCUUGGCAAUUUGUUGAUUAGUGAUUAAUUAGAGGACGUUCCCUAAUUAAUCUAAGCUUAAGGAGGGAUUUGGUUGGUGAGAAGCGUCUUCCACCUCCAUAACUAAUUUAUUAAAUCUAAUGAAAGAACCUUUGUGUCAAUGAUCAAUCCCAACAACUAAAGUGAAUCCAAUUCUUCAACUAGGUUUUUCCCAUUAUUGAUUUCUCUUUAUUCUUUACUUUACUUGCUUGCUUUCAAUUCUAGUUUAACUCAACAAUCUCAAAACCCCCUUUUUUUUAUUGUCUUUUUAUUUACUUGGUCUUGACAAGAAAAGUAAGUAUCAAUUCCCUGUGGAUUCGAUCCUUUUGCCACUAUCUACAGUUGUAAAAUUGUUGAUAACCAAAAAGGUUAUUUUUGACCGGCCUCGACAACCGCGAGUCAAAAAUUGGCGCCGUUGCCGGGGAGUUGAUU
rnacentral:lncRNA from 1 species